rnacentral:tRNA from 1 species
GGGAAUGUAGUUUAGUGGUAGAAUGCUUGUCUAGCAUGCAUGAAGCCCUGGGUUUGAUUCCUCAGUACCA